rnacentral:rRNA from 1 species
GACGAACGCUGGCGGCGUGCCUAAUACAUGCAAGUAGAACGCUGAAGAGAGGAGCUUGCUCUUCUUGGAUGAGUUGCGAACGGGUGAGUAACGCGUAGGUAACCUGCCUUGUAGCGGGGGAUAACUAUUGGAAACGAUAGCUAAUACCGCAUAACAAUGGAUGACACAUGUCAUUUAUUUGAAAGGGGCAAUUGCUCCACUACAAGAUGGACCUGCGUUGUAUUAGCUAGUAGGUGAGGUAACGGCUCACCUAGGCGACGAUACAUAGCCGACCUGAGAGGGUGAUCGGCCACACUGGGACUGAGACACGGCCCAGACUCCUACGGGAGGCAGCAGUAGGGAAUCUUCGGCAAUGGGGGCAACCCUGACCGAGCAACGCCGCGUGAGUGAAGAAGGGUUUCGGAUCGUAAAGCUCGGUUGUAAGUCAAGAACGAGUGUGAGAGUGGAAAGUUCACACUGUGGCGGUAGCUUACCAGAAAGAGACGGCUAACUACGUG